AAACGAUGCCACCAGUAAUAGGUCUGAGUUCCUUAAAUGACUCGACCUGCGACUUCCGGGAAACCAAAGUCUUUCGGUUCCAGGGGAAGUAUGGUUGCAAAGCUGAAACUUAAAGGAAUUGACGGAAGGGCACCACCAGGAGUGGAGCCUGCGGCUUAAUUUGACUCAACACGGGAAAACUUACCCGGCCCGGACACUGGCAGGAUUGACAGAUUGAGAGCUCUUUCUUGAUUCAGUGGGUGGUGGUGCAUGGCCGUUCUUAGUUGGUGGAGCGAUUUGCCUGGUUAAUUCCGAUAACGAACGAGACUCUAGCCUACUAAAUGGGCCACCGGCUUACUGACGUCGGUGGGACUUCUUAGAGGGACAGGCGGCGAUUCAGCCGCACGAAACAGAGCAAUAACAGGUCUGUGAUGCCCUUAGAUGUCCGGGGCCGCACGCGCGCUACACUGAAGUGAUCAGCGUGCAUUACAAACCUGCUCCGUCAGGAGUGGGGAACCCAAUGAACCUUCUUCGUGAUUGGGAUAGGGGAUUGUAAUUAUUCCCCUUGAACGAGGAAUUCCCAGUAAGCGCGAGUCAUAAGCUCGCGUUGAUUACGUCCCUGCCCUUUGUACACACCGCCCGUCGCUACUACCGAUUGAAUGAUUUAGUGAGGUCUUCGGACUGGCCGGCGCAGCUGUCUUCGGGCGGCCGCGCUGUGUUUGGAAAGAUGCCCAAACUUGAUCAUUU
rnacentral:rRNA from 1 species